UACCGUCCGGCGGACUGUUAAUCAGUGGGCCCCUUUAGUAUUCCCUGUGUUAACUUUAAGUAGUGAAAAAAUUAGGUCUAUAUAGGUAAUAAUUUGAUCAAAUUAACACAUUAACCUAUGCAGUUCACCAGAGUUAAUGCUCAGUCCUACCUAGUAUUUCUUCGUCUAAUAAAUUUCUUGUCAUUAGCACUAUUUAAAUUAUGUAUAUCAAUUAUGUUUAUUUCUUUUUGCGUAUGGUGAGUGGGAAACAUGUCAAUACAGCCAGUGGGGUGGUGUAGGAUAAACAGUGGAGAUUGAGGAAAAACUACCAUAAUGCAUUUUAUUUUUAUUGCAAGCAUUAAAUAUCUUAUUCUAGGUGGAUGUCAGAAAUUUUGUAAAUAAAAUUGAAAAUUAUGGUGUUUUUCGUUGAUUCCUAUUUAAAGGUAAAUAAAUUACACAGUAUGGGGUAUACAUAUGUAAAUGAAGUUUUUAUAUAGACUGGAUAAAGCUGUGACGUAGGGUUCUAACUGAACGACAUUUUUGGGAGUAAAUAAGAAAGAAAAAAUUAUCGUUUGGAAACAAACAAAAAGUUGUGUUGAAGUUUGUUUCAAAAUGAUUUAAAUUGUGAAUCAUCAACAAAUAAUGAUAAUUUUUACGGGUGGCGAAAAUAAUCGGCUAUUGAAUCAUUUUGAAAUGAACUUUUAAACAUAACAUAGAUUGUAUUUCUAAAAUAAUAUUCAACUUUUGUAAUUAUCAAAUUGGUAUUUGAAAAUGGUUAGAACAGGCUUGAGGUCGCUUCGGUGUUUAUUUCAGUCCUUUAGCCUGGUCCUUAGGCCUUCCUCACAUUACGCUACAAAGAACUGAGAUAGCCAUAUGUGGCUUUCCAACAAAAGGGUCCUUUUCCUCUUCCGCAAUAAGGACCUUUUUUAUCAGAAUUUCUAUUGAAAUUUCACAUGGGAACGUCCUUAUUGCACUUGAAGCAUAAGGGCCCUGCUGUAAUGGGAAGCCGCAUAUGCCAACAUAUAUAUAAGCCGACAGAAAACUUGAAAAAAGGUGUAAAACUGGAGAUUCUUUAACGAUUUGGCAUUGAUUGGCUUAUUGUGAGGACGGCCUUUUAAAUGAUUGUGAAACUAACUUAAGGUUCUAUAGGGCUAUUGCAGUAUAUAGCAGUUUGAGAACCUCCAUCCAUGCAUUUGUAUUAACAAUACCAUUUGUAAGGGCUGCAUUUUUAAUAUGUAUUUUAUAAACGACAUAACUAAAAAAAAAAGAGACUGUUAAGGCGAAGUUAAUAAUUAUGAUAUAUGCCAAUGGAUUUCACGAAGGAUAUACAUUAGCCUAUAUACUUACAUUACCUUCUCAGUAUUAUAUGCCAGCAGUUUAAUGACUAUUGGAUUGCUCAAGUUGAAUAUAAAUUAAAAGUUUUUGUUAAUUAAUUAUAACUAUUAAUCGGUUAAUUUGUUAUGGGUUACUAAGUGGAUAUGCAUUUUUCCUUUCCUUUUACGUGAUGAUUAAUAUUUUGAAAACUUUGGUUAACAAAUGUAUCAAAACGAAGGCAAAUAUAUCAAAUAUUACGUCACAGAUUACGCCACAAACAGAUUCAUGAAACCUCUCAAGGUACCGCUUGCGAUAAGACUUUUCAUUAUUGAGCUCUUGUGUUAUAUAAUAAUAUUAUAAUAACCCAUUUAACACAUUGACUCUUUCACAUACUUUUAUACAUACCAUUGCAUCAGUUCGUUAUUAAGCUGCUACGUACUGCGGUGGCCCAGCGAAGACGUCCUGCAGGCUUACGAUGUAAGGUCUCAUGUUGAUUGACGUGCCUUAGACUCCAUAACAUUGUGUAUCGUAGAGGUCAUCUCUUGAUUUUUUGCUACUGCUAUAAAAAAAUAGACGGCCCUGGUGGCUCGCGGUUGCUAUGUACCCGUGUACAAUUAAUAAUACUUUAUAUACCCCUCUAUUCUACGGAUUAUUUUCCUAUUAUAAAGUAAUCAUAAUGUCCUGUUUUUAGGACAAAUGGGGUUGUGUAAAGUUUUAUUAGCAGUCGAGAAAAGCAAGAAAUUGUCAGCGAAACAUGUCAAUAUUAAAUUUAAAGUAAAGUUAGAACAGUACAUCUCAAAUCCUGUGGACUUGUCAGAGGUUUUCCUGUAACUAUCAAAUACGGACACCAUCACAAAAAACAUGUUAUGUUUUAUAACUUUAUAGUACGAUUUGCUAGUACAUACUAAGAUUGUCAACUCCCAAAAUCCUAAGCUCUGGAAGUUAGGGUAAGUGAGUGUUUUAUUGUAAAAACCAAUGUGAGCUUUGGUUUAACAAAGCAGUUUCACUUUUCAUGAGACAAAGUUGUUUAAUGGAGUUUAUUCGCCUUUGUUUUUUGUAGAUCUUUUAAUGAACGAAUUAAUACUAUACUUAUACCCCUGCGUAAAUUGCUCUAACUUCUAGAUGGCAAGAAAGGCAAGUCCACAGGAAAUGCUUCUACGUCCAGUUCAAGGAUCUUGUAUUGUAUGAUACGGCAUUCUGUACCAUUUAAACAUUGGCAGAGGCUAAUGCAUCAUUCGGAAUGAAGAUUAUAAUCACCAGAAAUAUUUGGAGCACCGUAUCCGACAAUAUAUGUAUAUAUACGCAAGAUACUUAGCUAGGUCAACCCCUGUUGAGUUGCGUACAAAUUAUUCCAAUUUAUAUUGUGUAUUUAAUUAUUUUACCACCCUCGUUUAUUAGUGUUGAUCAUGUAAAGUAAAUUGUAUACAGUUUGUACGACUGUGUUGCCAGUAGACUCAUAGCAUCCGCAUUUUUACAAAAUAUCAACACCAGUAAGCAAUAUUUUUACACGACUUUUGACACGCUUGUCUCGACCUCGCUUACGCUGGCAACACGGACUUUUUUCGCCUUAUUAACUUUAGAACAGGUUCAAAUGGUUAUUGAUUUAUGAUUAUGUUUACCGAUUAUGUAGAUAAAUUAUUUUUUAAUAUAUUAAUUUUUGACCAAUAAAAUGCAUCGAUGCGUCACUAGCCUAGGGAGAAACUGUAAAGAUUAAUGUAACUAUUUAAUUAAAAUAUAUAAGUUUUUCAA